rnacentral:lncRNA from 1 species
UUGAGUCAGGAUAGUCCACCAGCUCCUAAAGAAUGAUUUUGACAACUAGCUUUGUAACUGGUUAAAGGAAUGCAGUGCCUUAUGGUGUUAUGUUCUUCAGGUAUUCCAUAUAUGCUUAGCCGGUCUGGGAGGCCUGCCAUAUUUACACGAGAUCCAGAUGCAAAUGCUCUGGAUUUCCAGGUUGUAAAUGUUGAAAGUGCAGAAUCUGCCAUUACAUUCUCUAUCUUUCUGCAGAUUAUGAAAACUGGGUUUAGAAACGACUCUUUCAUAAAGAAAGCAACUAUCUACUGGUUAUGCAUGUAUAUUGUCCUGCUAACGUUCAUGACUAAAAAAUCUAGUGGCUGCUCAUCUUAAUUCCUUGGAAUUCCAGUAAAAAAACACAUUAGCCCGAAAAAAA